rnacentral:rRNA from 1 species
AUACGUAGGGAGCGAGCGUUGUCCGGAAUUACUGGGUGUAAAGGGAGCGUAGGCGGGAGUGCAAGUCAGAUGUGAAAUACAUGGGCUCAACCCAUGGGCUGCAUUUGAAACUGCAUUUCUUGAGUGAAGUAGAGGUAAGCGGAAUUCCUGGUGUAGCGGUGAAAUGCGUAGAUAUCAGGAGGAACACCGGUGGCGAAGGCGGCUUACUGGGCUUUUACUGACGCUGAGGCUCGAAAGCGUGGGGAGCAAACAGGAUUAGAUACCCUGGUAGUCCACGCUGUAAACGAUGAGUACUAGGUGUGGGGGGACUGACCCCUUCCGUGCCGCAGUUAACACAAUAAGUAAUCCACCUGGGGAGUACGGCCGCAAGGUUGAAACUCAAAUGAAUUGGCGGG